rnacentral:tRNA from 1 species
UGUGUUGUGGCUCAGUGGCAGAGCACUUGCCUAGCAUGUGUGAGGCACUGGGUUAGAUUCUCAGCGCAUAUAA